GAUCUACUGAAAGGUGUGGUUAGGUGGAGCAUGUAAAAGGAAAGGAGAUUAGACGGUGUGUGUGUACACUGUGUAAGAGAGAAAGCGAACCAGAAAAAUAGGCAGAAAGUCAUGGACACAGCAAGCAGAAGAAACAAAAUUAAAAACAACAACACUGUGGACUUUGGAUUUUUCACAGAUGAAAAGUUGUUUGACUUUUUCUGCCAAAACAAGACAAAGAUGUCUACAAUAGAAGAGCCGUUGAUGUUUCUCCGACAUCUCAAGGACAAUAGACUCAUUACAGAUGAGCUUUAUCAAAAGCUUGAGAACACUGGUGAUGAUAAUGGUGUGUAUUGUGCAUUGGAUUAUAUUGAAAAACGUCGAAAGAAGAAUGUUAGAAAGUACUGGGAAUGUGUGGCCCAGGAGCAUAUAUUACAGCGUUACUCUCAACUCUCUGACAUCACUGCAGCUCUGAUGAACUCUCUUAAGAGUCAGCCAAAGAAAAAAAUAAGAGAAAGAGUUGAGGAUCGAGGCACAGGAAAAGAAAGAGAGGUUAAAAAGAGAAGGACAGAGAGCAACUCUGUGAGUGACCAAGCUGGACCAUCAUCACAAAGCAUUAGCAGCCAGAGGACGACAGAUAAACACGUGGAGAGAGAUCUUCAGAGCUCUUCAGACUCCAGCACAGAAUUGUCGUUUUUCCGUCCGUCCUUGCAUAGUAAAGCAGAGGAUCUUUGGAACAUGGAUAAACACAAGAAAAUGCUUCCUGUCACAUGUGGGAAUAAAAAGGCCUUAUUGGACAGAAAAGCAUUGUAUAAAAGAAAGAGGGACUGCAUUAAAUGUGGCAGAGAAAUGAUCUCCCCUUAUAUGUUUGAGGAAAUGGGUGGAAAAGAAUCAUGCAAGUCCUGGAAAACAAGUAUAUUAUGCCAAGGCACAACCCUCAAGAGUCUCAUUGAGAUGAAUAUUUUGAAGAUACCCAAACUUAAUGGAAAAUUUACCCUUCGUAAAUUAUAUAAAUGAUAUGUGCAUCACAUUAUUUAGCAUUUUCAAUCAGUCAAUAUACUGAGCUUACGAAUCCACUAAUUUUUCCACUUUUAAUAAAGUCAGUCAAUGAAUGAAAAGUGUUAGUGUGAAAUAAAGCUUC
rnacentral:lncRNA from 1 species